GAUGAACGCUGGCGGUGUGCCUAAUACAUGCAGGUCGAGCGAACAGACGAGGAGCUUACUCCUCUGACGUUAGCGGCGGACGGGUGAGUAACACGUGGAUAACCUACCUAUAAGACUGGGAUAACUUCGGGAAACCGGAGCUAAUACCGGAUAACAUGUUGAACCGCAUGGUUCAACAGUGAAAGACGGUCUUGCUGUCACUUAUAGAUGGAUCCGCGUCGCAUUAGCUAGUUGGUAAGGUAACGGCUUACCAAGGCAACGAUGCGUAGCCGACCUGAGAGGGUGAUCGGCCACACUGGAACUGAGACACGGUCCAGACUCCUACGGGAGGCAGCAGUAGGGAAUCUUCCGCAAUGGGCGAAAGCCUGACGGAGCAACGCCGCGUGAGUGAAGAAGGUCUUCGGAUCGUAAAACUCUGUUAUUAGGGAAGAACAAAUGUGUAAGUAACUAUGCACGUCUUGACGGUACCUAAUCAGAAAGCCACGGCUAACUACGUG
rnacentral:rRNA from 1 species